CUACGGGUGGCAGCAGUGAGGAAUAUUGCACAAUGGGGGGAACCCUGAUGCAGCAACGCCGCGUGGAGGAUGACGCAUUUCGGUGUGUAAACUCCUUUUAUAUGUCAAGAAAAUGACGGUAGCAUAUGAAUAAGCACCGGCGAACUCCGUGCCAGCAGCCGCGGUAAUACGGAGGGUGCAAGCGUUACUCGGAAUCACUGGGCGUAAAGGACGCGUAGGCGGGUUGGAAAGUCAGGUGUGAAAUCCUACAGCUUAACUGUAGAACUGCACUUGAAACUUCUAAUCUAGAGUAUGGGAGGGGGAGAUGGAAUUAGUGGUGUAGUGGUAAGAUCCGUAGAUAUCACUAGGAAUACCAAAAGCCAAUGCGACGUCCUGGACCGAUACUGAUACUAAGGCGCCAAAGCGGUGGUAGCAACCAGGAUUAGAUACCCGCGUAGUC
rnacentral:rRNA from 1 species